AACCAUACUAUAACUUCUCGUUUAACAAUUGAACAAUUUGUAUGGAAUAUAUACAAGUAGUUCAUAUCGAUAUGUCAUUAUAGUUGGGUUUUUUUUUUCGUGUAGUUGUUGUUGUUGUUUUUGUUUUGUGUCUACUCUUCGUUGGUUUUCUGUUCUCGGGCUUCCGAGUGCAUGUAAUGAUUUUGUGUGAUCUAUGAAACAACAAAACAGAGGAAGCUUUGUGUCUCUAUAAAGUACUUUGAAUUAAAACUCUCAUAUUUCUUGCUUAUAAAAUACACGUUCGUAAUGUUUUCACAGAUUAUAUACGAACGGAGACAACUAAAAAAAAAGGCCAACCAAAAACCAAUCAAACCACCACAUACGAACGAUAAAUAGCCAUGUUAAUCUCUUGGUUGGUUAAUGGGUUUCCUAGUACGCAAUUAAAACCAAAAAAAAAUGGAACAAUUUAGUCCUGUAAACCUCUUGGUUUGUUAUGUGAUUUACCUGUGCCCAUUUUAAUACUACAGGUGUCCACACAAUAUGUUACAUUUCUAGAGUUAUUUCGAUCUGACAAGAAUAUCUUCGCACAACGCCUCCUCUUUACGGAAAAGCUACGCUUAUCCAAUAUUUUCAAACCCAUCCCUGCUAUUACCAUUCCUUGUUAAACUGGUAUAAAAUUUGAUGAUUCCAGGAAAAUAGCAUUAUGUAACAACGGCACAUUUAUAGAAAAAAAGUUGAAUAAUUGAGUAGUUUCGUUAGCUAACUUAUUGAC
rnacentral:lncRNA from 1 species